AUGUUGAUCAAAAGAACAGCAGUAUAUGCUAUUCGCACAGUAGGUUUGCAACGAGCAGAAGUUAUGGUAAAGGGCAUUGAUAGUGGAAGAGAUGCCACAUUACGAGCCAUUGCUAAAAGUGGUGUGGGAUUAAGUUGUAUGCGCGAUGCAACACCUACGCCACAUAAUGGAUGUCAACAGCCUAAAAAAAGAAUUAACCCGCUUUCAACUUUCAGGAUAAAUAAACAAUUAAAUGAUAAAAACAAUAAUACUACUCUAUUAUGGUCCGAGAGGAUGCAGCAGGAUGCACGCAAACAGUACAGUGGAAGUGUGUUGAAUCAGAUGUGGGCUUGCAGUUUUGAUGCAUUUUUAUGUCUACAUUUGAUCCAAUCUAGCAUAUACACUAAUAAUAGCUCUAAUAUAGUCCCAUCUUGUCACCAAGGAUGA
rnacentral:rRNA from 1 species